ensembl:lncRNA
GAACAACUUAUCUGUAGCUCAAAUGGGCAUAAUGAGAUUCAGAGAACCUUUUUUUUUUUUUUUUUUUUGUAUAGGAGUUGAACUUGCUUGCAUACCCAGGAAAGAUCACAAGUAUCCAGGUAAGCACAGUAUGAAGUUCUAAAGACUUAAUCCAUCAUUAACAGCAUACCUAAAUUUUACAUGUAAGGAACUAUGGCUUAACACCUCCUGCUGGAUCGGUGGGGAACAAAUUAGGAAUUAAAGGCUCUUAAAGUUAAUCCAGAACUUAGCAGGUAUGGACGUCUUCACUUAUCCUUUCUAUUUUUGUACCAGCCCCACAGAAAUACUGUAUUAUUGUUGUCACUCCGAGACCAGAAGAGCUUUUUGAAGAAGUUAUCUACCGUAGAGAGGAGCUGCAAUACUUAGUAAUUUCUGCAGAAUGGCCUCAUAGAAAUAUGGUUCCCGAAUUAAUAAAGGUAAAAGCAUUACAGCUUGAAGAAAUACAUGUUACUGCUUUAGCACAUGAAGUUGCUUUUUUCCCCUCAGAUUGCAAGCUUGGGAAAGCUGAGCUUAAGGCAAUUUCUUCAAUUGCACUUUGUUUAUAUUUUGGGUUAUGCCGAGACAGACUUACAAAGUCAGCUGUGAUAAUGGAACUGGAUAAACUUUAUUCAUAUGAGAGUGAGAGCAAAAAGGAUCCGAAAUCAGAUGUUCAUGAAGGCAAAUUGAGCGAGUUCUGUGCCGAUUAUUGUGGGUUUCGGCAUCACUGCUCCCAUUCUGCAUCUGCAAGAUGCAGUCUGUCAGCUAUGCUUUAUCAACCUCGCUGUGCUGUUGUGUCAUCGGAGAGCUAUGGGGCCAAGGUCCAUUUGAGAAAGUUGCAGCAGCAUGGAGGACUGAAAAGAAACUGCACUGCCAGCUCUCAUCUCUCUUGGUGUUCUUGAGAAGAUGACAUGCAGCUAAAACCCUGCCCAACCAGCAUCCCCAUGGGUGCACACACACAGCUAUGGAGCAACCGUGGACCCCCGGGAGUUCCAUAAGGAACAGGAGGACUGAGACCAAUGCUCACCAAUUCCUAUGAUUUGCUAGUGACUUUGGCAGAUGACACAGGCAAGAUACUUCUCUCUGGAUGCGGAAGGAUCACUUCAGGGUAUGACUGAGACCUUCUCCAUCACACUGCAUUUUUAGCUAUGUCUGUGAAGCUCUUUAAGUGCGUGAAACACCAUUUUUGCACAAAAAGUACAUGCAUACAAAGCCAAAUUUUAAAUGCUGUUUUAGUCCCUCCUGAGAAGGAAAUGUGAACUCUUUUUACCAUGGUUUGUUUCUAUUUUCAGGACAAAUGACAACUCUGAGAUAUGAAUGAAGCUCCAGCUGAGUUGCUUUGGGACAUUUUUUCAAGUGUUUUCAUGCAAAAAUCAGCCACACAAACAUGUUAGUCUGUUUAUAAUGGGCAGUGACUGAAAGGACACAAAAGCAUUUUCCAGUUGUAUGUUUCUUUUCUCCUUCGUGUGUGAUGAUGUUGAGUAAUUUUGGGGGGAUGACCUGCUGGAGAGAAGCUCUGCAGAGAGGGACAUGGGUGGUCCUGGAGAACAGGUUGGGUAUGAACCAGCAAUGUGCCCUCAUGGCCAAAAAGACAGUUGGCAUUCUGGGGUGCAUUAAAAAGAGCAUGGCCAGCAGGUCAAGGGAGGCAAUCCUCCCCCUCUACUGUGCCUUGGUAAGGCCUCAUCUGGAGUCCUGUGUCCAGUUCUGGGCUCCCCAGUAUGGAAAAGACAGGGAUCUCUUGGAAAGAGUCCAGCGGAGGGCCACAAAGAUGGUGAAGGGCCUGGAGCAUCUCCCCUAUGAAGAAAGG